GCGGCCGAUUAGCUAGUUGGUGAGGUAACGGCUCACCAAGGCGACGACGGGUAGGGGGCCUGAGAGGGUGACCCCCCACACUGGCACUGAAACACGGGCCAGACACCUACGGGUGGCAGCAGUAGGGAAUAUUGCACAAUGGGCGCAAGCCUGAUGCAGCAACGCCGCGUGCACGAUGAAGGCCUUCGGGUCGUAAAGUGCUUUUCGGGGAGAUGAGGAAGGACAGUAUCCCCGGAAUAAGGAUCGGCUAACUACGUGCCAGCAGCCGCGGUAAAACGUAGGAUCCGAGCGUUAUCCGAAUUCACUGGGCGUAAAGCGCGUGCAGGCGGCUGGAUAAGUUGGAUGUGAAAUCUCCUGGCUCAACUGGGAGAGGUCGUUCAAGACUAUCCAGCUCGAGGGCAGUAGAGGGAGGUGGAAUUCCCGGUGUAGUGGUGAAAUGCGUAGAUAUCGGGAGGAACACCAGUGGCGAAAGCGGCCUCCUGGACUGCACCUGACGCUCAGACGCGAAAGCUAGGGGAGCGAACGGGAUUAGAAACCCCGGUAGUCCUAGCCGUAAACGAUGUAGACUGGGUGUGGGUGGGGUAAAAGCCAUCCGUGCCGAAGCCAACGCGAUAAGUCUACCGCCUGGGGACUACGGCCGCAAGGUUAAAACUUAAAUGAAUUGACGG
rnacentral:rRNA from 1 species